rnacentral:ncRNA from 2 species
CGAACCGCGGCGGGAGAGCUCCCGCCGAUCGUCCGCCCGCACACCGGUGCGGACGGCAGCGCGGGACGCCGAAGGAGCAACCCUCCCCGGGAAUCUCUCAGGCCCCCGUACCGCCGCGGCCAG